rnacentral:misc_RNA from 1 species
AAAUCUCAACCUUCUCGGUUUUCUUCUGGACACUGAAGGAGGCUUGGACUUUGGAGGCCUUUGCUGGCAUCUCUCUCUUUUUGAGAGCCAGCUCCUCUUAAAUGAAUUAGCGGGGUCCUCUUUGCCGAUCCUCGACAUGUGAUAAGAUGUUUCCAUGACUUGGUUUCUGGCUCUGUUGCCUUUGGGACCUGCUUCUAACCGUCUCAAACGAGACAACGGUUUGGGUGUGUCUCCCUCCUCGGGGAAACACUCUCAACCCCACUGAC